rnacentral:rRNA from 1 species
CCUACGGGGGACAGCAGUAGGGAAUCUUCCACAAUGGGCGCAAGCCUGAUGGAGCAACACCGCGUGAGUGAAGAAGGGUUUCGGCUCGUAAAGCUCUGUUGUUGGAGAAGAACGUGCGUGAGAGUAACUGUUCACGCAGUGACGGUAUCCAACCAGAAAGUCACGGCUAACUACGUGCCAGCAGCCGCGGUAAUACGUAGGUGGCAAGCGUUAUCCGGAUUUAUUGGGCGUAAAGCGAGCGCAGGCGGUUGCUUAGGUCUGAUGUGAAAGCCUUCGGCUUAACCGAAGAAGUGCAUCGGAAACCGGGCAACUUGAGUGCAGAAGAGGACAGGGGAACUCCAUGUGUAGCGGUGGAAUGCGUAGAUAUAUGGAAGAACACCAGUGGCGAAGGCGGCUGUCUGGUCUGCAACUGACGCUGAGGCUCGAAAGCAUGGGUAGCGAACAGGAUUAGAUACCCGUGUAGUC